rnacentral:misc_RNA from 1 species
GAUGAAGAACGUAGCGAAAUGCGAUACGUAAUGUGAAUUGCAAAUUCAGUGAAUCAUCGAGUCUUUGAACGCACAUUGCGCCCCCUGGUAUUCCGGGGGGCAUGCCUGUCCGAGCGUCAUUGCUGCCCUCAAGCACGGCUUGUGUGUUGGGCCCCGUCCUCCGAUUCCGGGGGACGGGCCCGAAAGGCAGCGGCGGCACCGCGUCCGGUCCUCGAGCGUAUGGGGCUUUGUCACCCGCUCUGUAGGCCCGGCCGGCGCUUGCCGAUCAACCCAAAUUUUUUAUCCAGGUUGACCUCGGAUCAGGUAGGGAUACCCGCUGAACUUAAGCAUAUCAAUAAGCGGAGGA